UUUGUUUUUUUAACCUUUACUGUUAACAAUAUGUAGUGUUUAUUUAUCUGAAAUAUGUAAACUGUAGGCUUUUUCUUAUCUUAGCUAUUCUUACACAGUGUUUCAAAAUGUUGGAUGAUAUGAUUGCGUUAGAUUUCUUGUUAGCCUAUAUUUCAUCAAUUUAUUAUCUACCAAGCAGUUCUGAAAAUGCCAAUUAGGGAUUAUAUGGCUCUAACGCUUAUGACAAUAAAGAAGAAUAGAAACAAAAAGAAAAAUCAAGUGUGCUGCCUGCUUGGCUACCAGUUUACAAGUGUAUCAUCAACCCCAUCAACUGAAUAGCUUCAUUCCAGGACUAGCAGGUUGAAAAUGACUUGACCUGUUGAACUCUUGCUAGCAAGCAGAUAUGUUUUCUAAUACUUCUGGAAAAGCCCAUUAUGUGUAACUGAUCUCCAGCAUAGAACUCGCAUUAGCUCUUAGAGCUGCCUCCUCUGUCUUUGCAUAUAGUCAUCUUGCUUCUGGAAUUACAGAAGGCCACAGGAACAAUGAAGAACUCAAUACAGAUGGCAUAAGGCUGACGGUAGUCAGUCACUCAAUCCAUACAGCCUGCUUGUAUGUAAAAUUACUCUUAACAUUCAGUAUCUGUACUGUAUAUCUAACAGUGACUAGUUUAGAAUUCUGUGAGGAGUCAGAGGCUUUGCUUGGAUAUCAUAAUGUUCUCAUCCAUACAGGGUUCAUCUGCAGCUCGUUAUGUUUGGACUGAUUUCCUUGAAUAUCUGUUCAGUUCUGAGCAUCUCCAAACACAGUGAUGAAGUCUGCUUACCCCAGGUUCAUGUUCUGCCUUAGCCUUUGUGAUCAAGUCAAAGAAACUAAAACCAGAAAAGGCAAUUUGUUCAUAUUUGAUAGAGCAUUGGAGUUUCUCAAGGAUUUAUUAGACAGAUUCAACUAGGAGGGCAUUAGUUUUCAGAGAACUUAUGUGGUUGUAAGUAAUGCAAGCUUGAUUUUAUGUAGCUGCCCACUCUAUAAAGCACUUCUUGUUUGUACAGUUCAUUUCUUAGUAGACCUCUCUGCCUUCCCCAGUUCAUGUUUUUCCUCAUUAGCUACUUGGUGCACCAGAACACAGUAUUAGAAAUAGGACACUGUUAAAAGCUUGCUAUGGCAGGUGAUGAAGGCUAUCAAUUUAUGUUAUAAAUGAAUGCAUGUCAUGGCAUGUACACAAGUUCUCUGAAGUCAGUAAUCUCAACAAAUAAAUCUUAGGACCCAUUGGAACUGUUGCCUAUACUUUGAUAUUGGGAAUGAAUCAAAGCAAUCAAUCUUAUGGAUGCUGGGAAUGACAAGUUUAAUACAAUGACUUGUACAUGCAAAAAUACUUUGAGCCCAAGCUUUGUUUUUUAUCACCUUGAAAUUUACUUGUGAUGUAUUAA